rnacentral:lncRNA from 1 species
GCUAUGGUUUUGGUGCAAAUCUUAUAUGAUUUGAAGUUUAUAUGAAGGAGAUACAAGUGCUCAAAGUUAAGGUGUUGAUUUGGGAGCUACUGUCACUCUUUUUGGCAUAACGCACGUAUACAAACAACAAUUGAGGAUCGGUAAUUGUGAAUAAAGAGAGCACUUUUGCAGCUACACUUUUUACAUACUACUUAUUAGAUU